rnacentral:tRNA from 1 species
ACCUGGGUGGCUCAGUUGGUUGAGCGUCCGACUUCGGCUCAGGUCAUGGUCUCACGGUUUGUGGGUUCAAGUCCCACAUCAGGCU